GGAUUAGGCAUGCAAGUCGAACGAGGAAGUGCCCCGUAAGGGGCGCAAGCCUAGUGGCGAAAGGGUGAGUAAUGCAUUGAUAACCUGCCUUUGAGAUGGGAAUAACUGCGUUUCGAGCAAUCGGAACUACCGAAAGGGCUGCUAAUACCCAAUAAUACUAUAGGUGCAAAAGCACUUGUGGUCAAAUGCUAGGAAUCCUGUUCCUUGUGCUUAAAGAGGGGUUAAUGUCCUAUCAGCUAGUUGGUGGGGUAAUGGCCUACCAAGGCAAAGACGGGUAGCCGGCUUGAGAGGGUGGUCGGCCACACUGGGACUGAGACACUGCCCAGACUCCUACGGGAGGCUGCAGUCGAGAAUCUUUCGCAAUGCCCGAAAGGGUGACGAAGCGACGCCGCGUGUGGGAAGAAGGCCUUCGGGUUGUAAACCACUGUCGGGAGUUAGGAAAUGCAGGUGCGUUAAUAGCGCACUUGCUUGACUAAGGCUCCAGAGGAAGCCACGGCUAACUCUGUGCCAGCAGCCGCGGUAAUACAGAGGCGGCAAGCGUUGUUCGGAAUUAUUGGGCGUAAAGAGCACGUAGGCGGCCUUGCAAGUCAGUUGUGAAAGCCUUCCGCUUAACGGAAGAACGGCAUCUGAUACUACAGGGCUUGAGUACGGGAGGGGAGAGUGGAACUUCUGGUGGAGCGGUGAAAUGCGUAGAUAUCAGAAGGAACGCCGGCGGCGAAAGCGACUCUCUGGUCCGAAACUGACGCUGAGUGUGCGAAAGCUAGGGGAGCAAACGGGAUUAGAUACCCCGGUAGUCCUAGCCGUAAACGAUGGGCACUAAGUAGAGGGGUUUU
rnacentral:rRNA from 1 species